GACGAACGCUGGCGGCGUGCUUAACACAUGCAAGUCGAGCGGUAAGGCCCUUCGGGUACACGAGCGGCGAACGGGUGAGUAACACGUGGGUGACCUGCCUCUAGCUCUGGGAUAAGCCUGGGAAACUGGGUCUAAUACCGGAUAUGACUCCACGGCGCAUGUUGUGGGGUGGAAAGCCUUGUGUGGCUAGAGAUGGGCCCGCGGCCUAUCAGCUUGUUGGUGGGGUGAUGGCCUACCAAGGCGACGACGGGUAGCCGGCCUGAGAGGGCGGCCGGCCACACUGGGACUGAGACACGGCCCAGACUCCUACGGGAGGCAGCAGUGGGGAAUCUUGCGCAAUGGGCGAAAGCCUGACGCAGCGACGCCGCGUGAGGGAUGACGGCCU
rnacentral:rRNA from 1 species